AUGGAGGCGGCCGUCGGCGCGACCAGCUCGCUCCUCGGCAAGGUGCUCACGAAGCUGUCCGAGGGCCUGGUGGCUGCGUACGUUGACAGCCUUGAGCUCGGCCACAACUCCCAGCAGAUCAAAACCAAGCUGCUGCAAACACAAGGGCUGCUGCAACUGCGAAAAUAUAAAAUAGCACAGCUGCACCCCGGCCCUCUUAUCCGGGUCGUCCAUAUACAUCGGGAUAUGCGUCAGCCUUUACCGAGUCGCCGGGACGGGUGGGCCGCCGGGGACGACCAGUGCCGGGCCACGGCGGGCACCGCCGCCCAGGUCAUCUCGCGCCGCCAGCCAUUGGACGCCGCUGCACCAGGCAAGGUUAGGGUCAGGUUUGGGGCAGCAAACAAGCGUCAGGUGUUUGUCAGUAAUCAGCCAUUAUGCAGGAUAGCGCGGCCCCGGUGCAGCUGUACGAAAAAUCCGCGUCCAACGCUGCAACUGGCCGAGGGGAGGGACGUGAGCAACGUCGCCGCCCUUCAGGCCUUGUUGGAGGAGCUGAGCAAGAAGGCCGACGAGGCGGAGGACUUGCUGGAUGAGCUCCACUACUUCAAGAUCCAGGACCAGCUCGACGGCACCAACUAUGCUGCGUCGGAUCUCGGCGAUGGCCUCCGCGGCGAUGCUCGCCAUGCUCGUCAUGCUGUUCGCCACAUCAUCGGUAACUGUGUUUCAUGCUUUUGUUGCUCUCGCACACAAGAUGAUGGUUCUGCUCCUACUGCUGUUGCCAAUAGCUCACACCAGCAUGCAACCAACUCUGCUACUGCUAGUGCUGAUGAUGGUGGCCAUGUCGAUAGGUUACAUUUCGACAGACUGGCCAUGUCCAGCAAAAUCAAGUCUGUGAUAGAGGAAAUACACUCCCUAUGUGAACCCGUCUCUGAUUUGCUCAACAAAAUUCCAAGCAGCAGCACAGUUGUCACCCUAAAACGGCCUCACAUAGGGUCCACAAUUAUACAAGAUACACUGCACGGGAGGAGAGACAUUUUUGAGAAAAUUGUCAAUGAUAUCACAAGUGGCACACAUCACGGUCAAACUGUUUCUGUUCUUCCUAUAGUCGGCCCGGGGGGGAUUGGAAAGACAACUUUCACCCAGCACCUGUAUAAUGAUAGUAGGACUGAAGAGCACUUCACUGUUAUGGUUUGGGUGUGUGUAUCGACUGAUUUUGAUGUGUUGAAGCUCACCCAACAGAUCCAUAACUGCAUACCUGCAACUGAAAGCGAAACUGCAAUUGAAAGAGUUAUUUACCCAAAACCACCACACUUGGGGCUAGGCGUUCUGGUCACGCUCGUGCUCGAGGAGCGGCCCUUGCCGUGCGCACCGUCAUGGAGCGCCAUGGCCACGGCCACGCUCGCGGCAGUGCCCCGUGGUGGCUUCCCAGACCGAAGCGCGCCGACGACCUUUGGACCCGGAGAGGUGCUCGGCAUCGAGACGCCUCCCAGCAUGCGCGGCCGCGCCUUUGACUCUGACGCCGGUGAAGCCCUCCCCGUGGCGGCGCGGCCCUGGACUGCUAGCCACAGCGGCUCGGCUGUGAUUUGGGUGGCGUGGCGGACAAGAGCUGGAGGCAUCAUAGACUCUAGCCACCCAAGCGAUAAGAAUUACAUGGAAGGUCUAGUGGAAAAUGGUUUUCUCAUGAAGGGGGUUUCUAAAUCUGGUCUUGUUGGUGAAUACUAUGUAAUGCAUGAUUUAAUGCAUGAGCUAUCUCAGAGUGUCUCUGCACAAGAAUGCCUCAAUAUAAGUGACCUAGAUUUUAGAGCUGAAGCCAUCCCACAAUCUAUUCGGCACCUAUCCAUCACCAUAGAGAAUAGAUAUGAUGAAAAAUUUAGGGAAGAAAUGGGUAAACUAAAAGGAAGGAUAGACAUUGUAAAUCUACGGACGUUGAUGAUCUUUAGAGAAUAUGAAGAAAGAAUCGUUGAGAUCUUAAAAGAUACGUUUAAAGAAACAAAAGGCCUGCGCAUCCUAUUUAUAGCAGUGAAGUCCCCAGAAUCUCUGCCACAAAGCUUUUCAAAACUUAUCCACCUUCAGUACCUCCAAAUUCGAUCACCCAAUGACACAGAAAUGAUGUUACCUAGCACACUAUCCAGAUUUUACCACUUAAAAUUCUUGGACCUAACUUGUUGGUUUGGUAGUUCUAAUUUGCCUAAAGACAUUAGCCGCCUUGUGAAUUUACGCGAUUUCCUUGCUAAGAAAGGACUCCACUCCAAUGUUCCUGAGGUUGGAAAGAUAAAGUAUCUGCAUGAGCUAAAAGAAUUCCAUGUUAAGAAAGAAAUUGUUGGAUUUGAUUUAAGAGAGUUGGGGGAAUUGGGAGAGCUUGGGGGAACACUAAGUAUACAUAAUCUUGAAAAUGUGGCAACCAAGGAAGAAGCUAGUGAUGCCAAAUUGAUGUUGAGAAGGGAUUUGAAAGAAUUGACAUUAGUAUGGGGCAGAGAGCAACCGACUGAUGUAGAUGCUGAUAUUCUUGAUGCUCUUCAACCACACUCUAACCUUACAGCACUUGGCAUUAGAAAUCAUGGUGGCACCACUUGUCCUGGUUGGCUGUGUCCUGAGAUAAGGGUAAACAAUUUAGAGACUCUCCAUUUACACGGCGUGUCUUGGGGAACUCUUCCACCUUUUGGGCAGCUACCAUAUCUCAGGGAACUCAGCUUGAAGAGCAUUUCUGGGCUGCGUCAGUUUGGUCCUGACUAUGGUGGUGUUACAGGCAAAUGUCUUUUGCAGUUGAAGAAAGUUGUGUUUUAUGACUUGUCAGAUUUUGUCCAGUGGGUUGUGGAACCUAAUUGUGAUAUGUUUCCAGGUCUUGAAUGCAUCAAUUGCAGAUAUUGUCCCAAUCUAUGUGUGAUGCCCUUCUCGGAGUGCUCUUGUGCCAGUUUGUGCAGGCUUUACAUUGAUAGUUGCCCAAAGUUGUCUCUGCCCCCCAUGCCUCACACCUCCACACUAAUUGAUUUUGCUGUUGAAAAUCGUUCAGAAAGGUUUUCUUACCAGGGAAAAAGAAUGGAUGUUAGGAAUUAUGCCGGUGCUUUGGCAUUCCACAAUCUGGGUGAAGUAGAGGAUGUGUGUAUUCGAGAUGAAUCACACAUUUCGUGGACAGACCUCAGAAAGCUUAAAUCCUUAAGAAAACUAGCUGUCACAAGAUGCGACAGCCUGUUUUCCGGAGAAAUGGAUGGCAGUGUUGUCUUCCACAACAUGAAUAUUGAGACUCUCAGUGUAGAUCUAUCCCAUCUUACCGGAAAAUUGCUGUCAAAAGUGUUCAAUAGUUGCCCAGCUCUUGGUGAAUUGGAGAUACAUUCUUCACUGGAAGACCAGGAGGAACGAGUACUACAGUUCUCAUCAUCCAGCUCACUACGGACACUUGUUUUCAAGAAGUCAAAGGGCCUGGUUCUUGUGCCUGCGGAGGAUGGAGGAGGAAUCCAGGACAUCACGUCGCUCCAAUCAUUAAUAAUAGAAUAUGGCGGCAAGUUGUUGUCUCGGUGGCCCAUGGGAGAAGCAGGAGGAGCUCCGAUGACCAACCCUUUCCCUGCUUCCCUCAGGAAACUAGUUAUUACCGAAGAGUCAAGCAUGCGGUCAAUGGCUCUGCUCUCAAACCUCACGUUUCUCACCCAUCUAAGUCUAAUUGGCUGCAAGAAUCUAACACUGGAUGGGUUCAAUCCCCUUAUCAUGGUCAACCUCAAGAAAAUGGAGGUCUGCAACAGUGGCAGCAACUCUCUAGCAGCGGAUCUGCUCUCAGAGGUGGCAAGGACCAAAUCAAUGCAUGCGGGUUCCUUCCAAUUGGAGAAACUGACCGUGGAUAGCAUCUCGGCAGUGCUCGUUGCUCCCAUUUGCAACCACCUCUCCGCCACCCUCCACGAAUUGCAAUUCUUUGAUGAUGAGCUGGCUAAAGGCUUCACGGAAGAGCAAGAGAAUGCCCUUCAGCUCCUCACCUCCCUACAGACACUUAAAUUUUUUUGCUGCAAGGUUCUGCAGUCUCUCCCUCAUGGAUUACAACGCCUUUCUUCUCUCAAAGAAUUACAUGUCAUUGAGUCUCCUGAACUACGAUGCCUGCCAGAGGAGGGCUUCCCCACUUCGCUGAAAGUUCUGCGUCUAUGGAAUGGCAGUGCCGAGCAAAAAGAGCAAGCUGAGAAAUUGAAAGAAACAUACCCAAAUUUACGACUAGAUUAUUAUUAUUUUUAG
rnacentral:rRNA from 1 species